AUUAAUGAGUCCUGUUGUCUGUCGGAUGUUUGCUAGACAUCAUGUUAGGCAAUGAAGGACAUUUGAGU
ensembl:miRNA MIR9807 microRNA mir-9807